rnacentral:rRNA from 1 species
CAGCAGCCGCGGUAAUACAGAGGAUGCGAGCGUUGUUCGGAAUCACUGGGCUUAAAGCGCAUGUAGGCGGACCAGCAAGUGUCUUGUGAAAGCCCUCGGCUCAACCGAGGAAUUGCUUGGCAAACUGCUGGUCUUGAGGCAGUUAGAGGCGACUGGAACCUUUGGUGGAGAGGUGAAAUUCGUAGAUAUCAAAGGGAACGCCGGUGGCGAAAGCGGGUCGCUGGGCCUGUCCUGACGCUGAGAUGCGAAAGCGUAGGUAGCGAACGGGAUUAGAUACCCCGGUAGUCUACGCCGUAAACGAUGCGCACUAGGUACGAGAAUCUCUGACGGUUUUCGUGCCGGAGCGAAAGUUUUAAGUGCGCCGCCUGGGGAGUACGGCCGCAAGGCUAAAACUCAAAGGAAUUGACGGGGGCUCACACAAGCGGUGGAGCAUGUGGAUUAAUUCGAAGCAACGCGAAGAACCUUACCUGGGUUUGACAUGCACGGAUGCCCUUGUGGAAACACGAAUAAGCUGCCUUCGGGUGAAACGUGCACAGGUGCUGCAUGGCUGUCGUCAGCUCGUGCUGUGAAGUGUCGGGUUAAGUCCCUUAACGAGCGAAACCCUUAUCGUUAGUUGCCAGCGGGUCAUGCCGGGCACUCUAGCGAGACUGCCGGCGUUAAGCCGGAGGAAGGUGGGGAAGACGUCAAGUCAUCAUGGCCCAUAUGCCCAGGGUGUCACACGUGACACAAUGGGAUGUACAGAGCGAAGCGAGACCGCGAGGUGGAGCAUAUCGCAAAAAGCAUUCCUCAGUUCGGAUUGGAGUCUGCAACUAGACUCCAUGAAGUUGGUAUCGCUAGUUAUCGCGUAUCAGCCGCCGCGGUGAAUACGUUCCCGGGCCUUGUACACACCGCCCGUCAAGCCAUGAAAGAUGGUAGUACCCGAAGUCGUUUUCCUAACCCUCGGGAAGGAUGCGCCGAAGGUAAGACCAUUAAUUGGGGCUAAGUCGUAACAAGGUAACCGUA